rnacentral:rRNA from 1 species
GACGAACGCUGGCGGCGUGCUUAACACAUGCAAGUCGAACGGAAAGGCCCUGCUUUUGUGGGGUGCUCGAGUGGCGAACGGGUGAGUAACACGUGAGUAACCUGCCCUUGACUUUGGGAUAACUUCAGGAAACUGGGGCUAAUACCGGAUAGGAGCUCCUGCUGCAUGGUGGGGGUUGGAAAGUUUCGGCGGUUGGGGAUGGACUCGCGGCUUAUCAGCUUGUUGGUGGGGUAGUGGCUUACCAAGGCUUUGACGGGUAGCCGGCCUGAGAGGGUGACCGGCCACAUUGGGACUGAGAUACGGCCCAGACUCCUACGGGAGGCAGCAGUGGGGAAGAUUGCACAAUGGGCGGAAGCCUGAUGCGGCAACGCCGCGUGCGGGAUGACGGCCUUCGGGUUGUAAACCGCUUUCGCCUGUGACGAAGCGUGAGUGACGGUAAUGGGUAAAGAAGCACCGGCUAACUACGUG